GCUGAAAUAGCCAAAUCCACUAAUUUGAAGGGGUGUCCACAUACUUUUGGCCAUGUAGUGUAUAUCAGAGCUGCUGUACUGAUUUGAAAGCAUCAUUUAUAUACUCCAGUUGAGUUUUGUAUGGAUAUGAAAUGACUAUAUAUAUAUUAUGUAUUGACAUGUUUGAGCAGAUUAAACUGAUGUGGCUGAUUUGACAGGUCACCUUUCUUGUGGUGUCGUCUCUCUCUCUCAUGCGCACCCCGCACACACACACACACACGCGCACACACACACACACACGCACACGCACACGCACACACACGCACACACACACACACAGGAGAGGAGUGCAUUUUUCAGUUUCCAUGAUCUUUAAUAAAAGGCACAUGUACAGCCAUAAUGAGAUGAGUCAGCGAGUCUAUUGGCAUAGAGACAAAAAGCGUUAAAACACAGAAAUACAAGACCUAGAUAGGCCUGGAGGAGUCAGAUCUAUAGAAAUACUCAACCUAUAUAGGUCAGGAGAGACAGAGCUAUCACAGUAGAUUCUACUUUUUAGUAACGUCGUCAUCUCAGCAUCAUUCAAGUAAGUCUAACACUCUAAACACGUCACCAUAGUAACGCACCAGACCCACCCCCCCUCCCCGCACUCACACACACACACACACACAAGGUCCAUCCAGGGUUCUCCCCAUUUAGAACCGGAGUCGUGAGCUAGGUCUAGAUUAGAACCGGAGCCGUGAGCUAGGUCUAGAUUAGAACCGGAGCCGUGAGCUAGGUCUAGAUUAGAACCGGAGCCGUGAGCUAGGUCUAGAUUAGAACCGGAGCCGUGAGCUAGGUCUAGAUUAGAACCGGAGCCGUGAGCUAGGUCUAGAUUAGAACCGGAGCCGUGAGCUAGGUCUAGAUUAGAACCGGAGCCGUGAGCUAGGUCUAGAUUAGAACCGGAGCCGUGAGCUAGGUCUAGAUUAGAACCGGAGCUGUGAGCUAGGUCUAGAUUAGAACCGGAGCCGUGAGCUAGGUCUAGAUUAGAACCGGAGCCGUGAGCUAGGUCUAGAUUAGAACCGGAGCCGUGAGCUAGGUCUAGAUUAGAACCGGAGCCGUGAGCUAGGUCUAGAUUAGAACCGGAGCCGUGAGCUAGGUUUAGAUACAAUCAGAUCAAGCGUUAACCGGCGAUAGAAGACACCUGUAUAGCGGGAUGUUGCGGUGUCGGAGGUGGAACUGUGUUCCAGCCGUCAAAUCGCUGAGCAGCUGCUCUUGCGAUCAUUGUCACUUAAGACACACCUGACCCACUCGUGGCAGAAGUUCAGAACGAGAAAGUGUAGGCUAUAUAGAAAUAUUUACGCUCAAAUUGAAAAAUCAUUAUAAACGAAUAAUGAGGAUUUCUUUCAUCCUAAUUGAUGUUUAGAUUACAUCUCCCAUUCCAGUGUUGAACUUGUAAACAAGGCUGCAUGGGAUUUCUGUUAAUGUGACUCCGUGCAGCCAAUGGCAAUGUCUGCUUUACUUGUGGAUUUGACUGCCAAAACAACCACUAUGCAGAUGUUGGUUAAAGUGGAUCUGAUUGAAUCGAGCCCUUAGUCCUUUAAAACAGUGUUGAGCCGGUGGACCGUUCAGGUUCUCUUCUCUCUUUCGGAGGUGAACCACCCUUAUCUGAGAUUUGAAGGCUUGGGGUACUUCCCCAAGAUAAUGCCUAGGCUUUAGCUUAGAGGACUAACAUGGUCUUGUGGCAAGCAGACAAACCGGAUUCAAACACAGUCUGUCACACUAGCUGGGGUUCCCUUCAGGUCCGUUUCAGGGUUCUCCGGUUCUAGCAGGUCUCUAGUACAGCCCAACCAGAGAAGAGGGAGGAGUCCACACACACACACACACACUGACGUUUGUUUCUGAGCAGGCCUAAGACGUCUUUCGAUUGUGUUUGUGUGCGUUUGCGUUUGUGUGUGUGUGUGUGUGUGUGUGUUUGCGUUUGCGUUUGCGUUUGUGUGUGUGUGUGUGUGGCCAUGCAAGUGUCUGUUUAUAGGGAUGUGUUCACUAGGGCCCCAAAUUAAUCUGUCUCAAAACACAAACGCACACA